GGUAUCCAUACAGAAAUGUUUUGAUCAGAACUCUAAAACCCCUGAGGUGCUAGCUCCCUUGCAGGCUUCGUUUUUCAGCUUGAAUCAGGGUCCUUUACUUGAAUCUACUUGAUAUAGCCUUGUAUAGGAUCUUAGGGAUUGAUCCUAACCAUCAAGAAAAAUCAAAAAAUCUUUUCUUAAUUUUUUUUCUCUCUCAAAGGAUCUCUCUCUAGAUCUAAUCUAGAAGUAGAAUAGGCAUGGAAAAGAGAGGGCAAAAAGAGUUGGCAUGGAGGAUGAAGGGAGGGGAUAAGGUAGUUGGCACAAAAAUCAAAUCUUACAUCUACAUGCCCAAACCAACCCCCUUUAAAUAUUUGUCACACAAAAUUAAGUCCCUUUCUAUAUUUAUAACUAAUUCUAAUCAGAUUAGGAUCAGUUUAAAAUCUGUUAGCCUUAUCCCUAUCA
rnacentral:lncRNA from 1 species